rnacentral:lncRNA from 1 species
CUGGGUUAUUUUAAGUUCCAAUUCAUUCUAUUCCGUUUAGUUCCUUUCUACAUAAGUGCAGAGGAGAACUACAAUUGUCUAUGGUGGCCGGUGAAGUCCAUUUCGCGUUUUCGCCUUUCAUAUUCUAUAGGGCGAAAACGCGAAAUCGCGAAAAGGCGAAAACGCAAAAACGCGAAGUCGACUUUGCAAUUUCGCGUUUUCGUCAUAUAGAAUAUGUAAGGUGAAAACGCUAAAGUGCUAAAACGCAAAAUGGCAUUAACCUGCCACCAUGGUUGUCCGCAUGUAAACUUCUAGAAUUUGUCACCAAUAUAAGAACAUCGCAAUCCGUUACUGUUUCAACAGCCAUCGGUGUUUCAUGUGUUAUUCUUAAAACAAGUAUUAUUUUUCUCUCGUUUUUAGCAAUGUAUCACUCUCUACUGUCCUUAUAUAUUAUUCUAUAUUCUGCGUUUCCAUCCAGAUUAUCGUGUAUACCAUGAGGGUCUGGAUUGGGGGUGUUGUUUAUUUAUGUAUAAAUUGUUAUGUCAUUUUUUUUCUAUAUUUUAUUUAUCUUCUUAUUAUUCUUUCUUUAUUUUUCAUAUUUUGUCAUCCCAAUAUAUUGUACUUACUGAUGUUUAGUUACAUUACGACGUUUAUAUCGGAUUUAUAUAC